rnacentral:rRNA from 1 species
AGUGAACGCUGGCGGUAGGCCUAACACAUGCAAGUCGAACGGCAGCACAGUAAGAGCUUGCUCUUACGGGUGGCGAGUGGCGGACGGGUGAGGAAUACAGCGGAAUCUACUUUUUCGUGGGGGAUAACGUAGGGAAACUUACGCUAAUACCGCAUACGACCUACGGGUGAAAGCAGGGGAUCUUCGGACCUUGCGCGAUUGAAUGAGCCGAUGUCGGAUUAGCUAGUUGGCGGGGUAAAGGCCCACCAAGGCGACGAUCCGUAGCUGAUCUGAGAGGAUGAUCAGCCACACUGGAACUGAGACACGGUCCAGACUCCUACGGGAGGCAGCAGUGGGGAAUAUUGGACGAUGGGCGCAAGCCUGAUGCAGCCAUACCGCGUGGGUGAAGAAGGCCUUCGGGUUGUAAAGCCCUUUUGUUGGGAAAGAAAAGAAGCAGGUUAAUACCUCGCUGUUCUGACGGUACCCAAAGAAUAAGCACCGGCUAACUUCGUG